UCCUUCCUGUUCCCCUCGGUCAGGGAAAGGCUCUCUGGUAGUCACUGGUCACGAGGGGGCGCUGCUUCCGGCCAGCAUCUGCUCGCUGGUAAUCCGCCUGGACAUUGGAACGCUGAUAUGUUACUAGCGUCGUUGUUAGUGGUGCUUCCGACACUCACAAUGGCUUGAGCCGAGGGAGGAAAAUAGGUGCUGUGGAUAUGGGAAUUUAGAGUGAAACUGGAUGGAACAAUGAGCCAGAAUUUGAGACUGGGCCGAGGAGACCAGGGUGUGUGUAGAGAUAGUCUUAAACAAUUAUGGACCAUCAAGGAUGCUGUGUGAGUAACUGGUACACAGGGAGGUGCCGGUUAAAAACCUCACUUAACCUCCCUCUCUAGAGGUCUCAAACAGAUCAGAGGAAUCCCCACCCCCGAUUCUGUUUUGCCACUUGUAAAAAGGUUUUCAUAGUUCUUCACCUUGCCCAGCCACAAAGGCAUGGGCUUUUGUGGCAAUUCCUCUGCCAGAAAUGAGGCAGGAAAUAAGAAAACCAAGCAUCCUGGGCCAAACUUUGGGAAAUUCCACGAAUGUCCUCCAUGUCCCUCCAGGAAACAUUCUAGGAAGCACUAUGUUCCUCUCCAUUUCUGGGAUACUGGCUUAAACCCUGAAAGCCCUGCUAGCCAAGUCAGCGUCUCAGGCAUGGGCUUCAGUUAGGGCACUUGGUGACUCAGGACCUUGGGAAUGGCGUUGGGCAAGCCAUCAGACCAGCCACCUGGGCCUCCUCCUCCCUGGAGGCCCCUGGCACCAGGUCAGGGCUUGGAGGAGAGUAUAUCAAGGAUCAAGAGGAUAAAGAAGGCAUAAUGGAACUCGCAAGGAACCAGGAUUUUCUACUUUUAAGUCCCUGAAAUGAUUUCUCAAAUCCAAGAUAGCUAGCGUUCCUUCCUUUAACUUCCUUCGUGUUUCCUCCUAACUGACUGCAAAGUCAAGUCUCCUCUUCUUCCACUCAGAGAAACAAAAAUGUAGCCUUAUUUUUUUUUUUUUUUU